rnacentral:rRNA from 1 species
GAUGAAUGCUGGCGGCGUGCCUAACACAUGCAAGUCGAGCGGCAGCGCGAGUAGUUUACUACUUGGUGGCGAGCGGCGGACGGCUGAGUAACGCGUGGGAACAUACCCCAAAGUGAGGGAUAACCGCCCGAAAGGGUGGCUAAUACCGCAUAUGGUCUUCGGAUUAAAGGAUUUAUCCGCUUUGGGAAUGGCCUGCGUACGAUUAGAUAGUUGGUGAGGUAAAGGCUCACCAAGUCUACGAUCGUUAACUGGUUUGAGAGGAUGAUCAGUCAGACUGGAACUGAGACACGGUCCAGACUCCUACGGGAGGCAGCAGUGGGGAAUAUUGGACAAUGGGCGCAAGCCUGAUCCAGCCAUACCGCGUGGGUGAAGAAGGCCUUCGGGUUGUAAAGCCCUUUUGUUGGGAAAGAAAUCCAGCUGGUUAAUACCCGGUUGGGAUGACGGUACCCAAAGAAUAAGCACCGGCUAAC